UACGUAGGGUGCAAGCGUUAAUCGGAAUUACUGGGCGUAAAGCGUGCGCAGGCGGUUUUGUAAGUCUGUCGUGAAAGCCCCGGGCUUAACCUGGGGAAUUGCGAUGGAGACUGCAAGGCUUGAAUCUGGCAGAGGGGGGUAGAAUUCCACGUGUAGCAGUGAAAUGCGUAGAGAUGUGGAGGAACACCGAUGGCGGAAGGCAGCCCCCUGGGUCAAGACUGACGCUCAUGCACGAAAGCGUGGGGAGCAAACAGG
rnacentral:rRNA from 1 species